rnacentral:piRNA from 1 species
UAACGAGGCAAACCCUGUCAUACACAUAAU